AUUGAACGCUGGCGGCAUGCUUUACACAUGCAAGUCGAACGGUAACAGGUUAAGCUGACGAGUGGCGAACGGGUGAGUAAUGCAUCGGAACGUGCCCGAUCGUGGGGGAUAACACUUCGAAAGAAGUGCUAAUACCGCAUACGAUCUGAGGAUGAAAGCGGGGGACCGUAAGGCCUCGCGCGAUCGGAGCGGCCGAUGUCAGAUUAGGUAGUUGGUGGGGUGAAGGCUCACCAAGCCGACGAUCUGUAGCUGGUCUGAGAGGACGACCAGCCACACUGGGACUGAGACACGGCCCAGACUCGUACGGGAGGCAGCAGUGGGGAAUUUUGGACAAUGGGCGCAAGCCUGAUCCAGCAAUGCCGCGUGCAGGAAGAAGGCCUUCGGGUUGUAAACUGCCUUUGUACGGAGCGAAAAGGCUCCCUCUAAUACAGGGGGCUCAUGACGGUACCGUAAGAAUAAGCACCGGCUAACUACGUGCCAGCCGCCGCAGUAA
rnacentral:rRNA from 1 species